rnacentral:rRNA from 1 species
CCCAUGAACCUUUACUGUAGCUUUGCAUUGGACUUUGAACCAAUCUGUGUAGGAUAGGUGGGAGGCUUUGAAGCGGGGACGCCAGUUCUGGUGGAGCCAUCCUUGAAAUACCACCCUGGUUCGUUUGAGGUUCUAACCUUGGUCCGUUAUCCGGAUCGGGGACAGUGCAUGGUAGGCAGUUUGACUGGGGCGGUCUCCUCCUAAAGUGUAACGGAGGAGUUCGAAGGUACGCUAGGUACGGUCGGACAUCGUGCUAAUAGUGCAAUGGCAUAAGCGUGCUUAACUGCGAGACCGACAAGUCGAGCAGGUACGAAAGUAGGACAUAGUGAUCCGGUGGUUCUGUAUGGAAGGGCCAUCGCUCAACGGAUAAAAGGUACUCUGGGGAUAACAGGCUGAUUCCUCCCAAGAGUUCAUAUCGACGGGGGAGUUUGGCACCUCGAUGUCGGCUCAUCACAUCCUGGGGCUGUAGCCGGUCCCAAGGGUAUGGCUGUUCGCCAUUUAAAGUGGUACGUGAGCUGGGUUUAAAACGUCGUGAGACAGUUUGGUCCCUAUCUGCCGUGGGCGUUGGAAAUUUGAAGGGGGCUGCUCCUAGUACGAGAGGACCGGAGUGGACGAACCUCUGGUGUACCGGUUGUCACGCCAGUGGCAUUGCCGGGUAGCUAAGUUCGGAAGAGAUAACCGCUGAAAGCAUCUAAGCGGGAAACUUGCCUUGAGAUGAGAUUUCCCGGAGCCUUGAGCUCCUUGAAGGGUCGUUCGAGACCAGGACGUUGAUAGGCUGGGUGUGGAAGUGCAGUAAUGCAUUAAGCUAACCAGUACUAAUUGCCCGUACGGCUUGUCCCUAUAACCUUGGUAGGCUAUA